rnacentral:tRNA from 3 species
CGGGUGUGGUUCAAUGGUAGAACUUCAGCCUUCCAAGCUGAUAACGCGGGUUCGAUUCCCGUCACCC